rnacentral:rRNA from 1 species
UACAGAGGGUGCAAGCGUUGUUCGGAAUUACUGGGCGUAAAGCGCGUGUAGGCGGCCCUGCAAGUCGGAUGUGAAAUCCCACGGCUCAACCGUGGAAGUGCAUUCGAAACUGCAGGGCUAGAGUCCUGGAGAGGAAGGUGGAAUGCUUGGUGUAGAGGUGAAAUUCGUAGAUAUCAAGCGGAACACCGGUGGCGAAGGCGGCCUUCUGGACAGUGACUGACGCUGAGACGCGAAAGCGUGGGGAGCAAACAGG